GACAGAGGGUGCAAACGUUGUUCGGAAUUACUGGGCGGAAAGCGCGUGUAGGCUGCUUUGCAAGUCGGAUGUGAAAGCCCCGGGCUCAACCUGGGAAGUGCACUCGAAACUGCAGAGCUCGAGUCCUGGAGAGGAAGGCGGAAUUCUCGGUGUAGAGGUGAAAUUCGUAGAUAUCGAGAGGAACACCGGUGGCGAAGGCGGCCUUCUGGACAGUGACUGACGCUGAGACGCGAAAGCGUGGGGAGCAAACAGG
rnacentral:rRNA from 1 species